rnacentral:rRNA from 1 species
ACAUGAACACAACAUAGCAUUAAUGCACCGGAUCCCAUUAGAACUCUAUAGUUAAGUGUGCUCAAGCUAGAGUUGUAUUGGUAAGGGUGACCUCCUGGGAAUUCCUAGUGUUUUACAUGCC